UGUUAUUAUUUGAAUUAGUAUUAAACUGCAUUGAAUAUAGAGUAGAAUCAAUACAGCCCGUAAAUGAUUUAGAAGUCCUAAGUUCAAAACACAUCUGGGUGGAAAUCGAAAAAUUGCAGAAACCCGUCCAGAAAAUAGGAUCUUUUCAUUUCUGAAACCCUCGAACAAGAAGCUGAAAAACCCUGCAUUUGAGAAAGCAUACAAAUUGCAAAAAAAACCAGAACUUUUGUAUUGAAAUUUGAAAAUGUUUGGUCGAAGCAGAUUCCUCUCGUUUCCUAUGGUAAUUGGAGCAGUCGUGAUUGGAGUUGUUUCAGGCAAGGCAAUAUUUGGACCCCCACUUGAUGAGUACUGGAAAAAGAAACAGCAGGAAGAGGCAGCUGCAAAGGAGACUGAUGCAAGCUCAAGUUAACCAAUAUUUACUGAUCUUCUCAUGUUUGAUGACGUCAUAGAGGAGUUUUGCGCAGGGAUGCAGGUCAUUCAUUAAUUCAUUUAUGUGCUAGGAUCAAGGCAACUGCUAACAGCUAGUUUUUUGAAUUCAUGGGAUCCCCGAUAGUUUGUUGAAACAGUCGUAGUUGAAGAAGAAUGACGAUGCAAAAUCCUAAAAGGAAGUCCAAUCUUCUACGAGGCAAAACCAUCCAAAAUAGAUAUUCUCUCGACAUCAUGUGUGGAUUAGGAUCUGGAUAGAAUAUUGGACUUUUCUGUAGUAUAACCUCUCAACGGAAUGGCUGUUCCUUCUCGACUUCUGUUGGUUCUUCCCAAUAAAGCAAGCAAAUUUCCAUGCAGCAGACAACUGAGGCCUAUCUUUUUAGGCU